UAACACGUAUCCAACCUGCCGAUGACUCGGGGAUAGCCUUUCGAAAGAAAGAUUAAUGCCCGAUGGCAUAGUUCUUCCGCAUGGUAGAACUAUUAAAGAAUUUCGGUCAUCGAUGGGGAUGCGUUCCAUUAGGUUGUUGGCGGGGUAACGGCCCACCAAGCCUUCGAUGGAUAGGGGUCCUGAGAGGAAGGUCCCCCACAUUGGAACUGAGACACGGUCCAAACUCCUACGGGAGGCAGCAGUGAGGAAUAUUGGUCAAUGGACGAGAGUCUGAACCAGCCAAGUAGCGUGAAGGAUGACUGCCCUAUGGGUUGUAAACUUCUUUUAUACGGGAAUAAAGUGAGGCACGUGUGCCUUUUUGUAUGUACCGUAUGAAUAAGGAUCGGCUAACUCCGUGCCAGCAGCCGCGGUAAUACGGAGGAUCCGAGCGUUAUCCGGAUUUAUUGGGUUUAAAGGGAGCGUAGGCGGACGCUUAAGUCAGUUGUGAAAGUUUGCGGCUCAACCGUAAAAUUGCAGUUGAUACUGGGUGUCUUGAGUACAGUAGAGGCAGGCGGAAUUCGUGGUGUAGCGGUGAAAUGCUUAGAUAUCACGAAGAACUCCGAUUGCGAAGGCAGCCUGCUGGACUGUAACUGACGCUGAUGCUCGAAAGUGUGGGUAUCAAACAGGAUUAGAUACCCUGGUAGUCCACACAGUAAACGAUGAAUACUCGCUGU
rnacentral:rRNA from 1 species